UACGUAGGGGGCAAGCGUUGUCCGGAAUCAUUGGGCGUAAAGCGCGUGUAGGCGGCUUGGUAAGUCCGCUCUGAAAGCCCGGGGCUCAACCCCGGGAGGCGGGUGGAUACUGUCAAGCUCGAGUCCGGAAGAGGCGAGUGGAAUUCCUGGUGUAGCGGUGAAAUGCGUAGAUAUCAGGAGGAACACCUGUGGUGUAGACAGCUUACUGGACCACUUCUGACGCUGAGACACGAAAGCGUGGGUAGCAAACAGG
rnacentral:rRNA from 1 species